rnacentral:rRNA from 1 species
CGGGUGAGUAACGCGUGAGGAACCUGCCUCAAAGAGGGGACGAACAGUUGGAAACGACUGCUAAUACCGCAUAAGCCCACAGCUCGGCAUCGAGCAGAGGGAAAAGGAGCAAUCCGCUUUGAGAUGGCCUCGCGUCCGAUUAGCUAGUUGGUGAGGUAACGGCCCACCAAGGCGACGAUCGGUAGCCGGACUGAGAGGUUGAACGGCCACAUUGGGACUGAGACACGGCCCAG